rnacentral:sRNA from 12 species
GUUUAUAUCGGACGGCUAAAAACAUCAGCGAUAUAGAUACAAGCGCAACUGGGGGAUAGUAGAUGUAACAGCGCACAAAUCGGUGGCGAAGCUUAGAUCCGAUUCUACGAAAGUCUGGCGAGU